GUUCCUCUAGCUGAGUUGGUUAGGUGGUGUGAGUAGCACUCCUCAGGUCCUUAGUUCGAAUCCAGUGGGAGCA
rnacentral:tRNA from 7 species